rnacentral:rRNA from 1 species
GAUGAACGCUGGCGGCGUGCCUAAUACAUGCAAGUCGAGCGAACGGACGAGAAGCUUGCUUCUCUGAUGUUAGCGGCGGACGGGUGAGUAACACGUGGAUAAUCUACCUAUAAGACUGGGAUAACUUCGGGAAACCGGAGCUAAUACCGGAUAAUAUUUUGAACCGCAUGGUUCAAAAGUGAAAGACGGUCUUGCUGUCACUUAUAGAUGGAUCCGCGCUGCAUUAGCUAGUUGGUAAGGUAACGGCUUACCAAGGCAACGAUGCAUAGCCGACCUGAGAGGGUGAUCGGCCACACUGGAACUGAGACACGGUCCAGACUCCUACGGGAGGCAGCAGUAGGGAAUCUUCCGCAAUGGGCGAAAGCCUGACGGAGCAACGCCGCGUGAGUGAUGAAGGUCUUCGGAUCGUAAAACUCUGUUAUUAGGGAAGAACAUAUGUGUAAGUAACUGUGCACAUCUUGACGGUACCUAAUCAGAAAGCCACGGCGAACUACGU